GCCAAAGAAAAAGUUCACCUAUUUUCUCCUGUUCUGCCUUCAGGAAGGAUAGAGAACAGUUAAUCAGGAUUUGACUUAGAGAACUUAAAGGCUCUCUGAUUUCACUGGUCUGAGUUCUCUUUCUUCCUAUAUCUAUGCUGAUGACAGCUUAUCCAUAUUUUAGUAGAUGGUCUUCAUAAAAUGUUGCAGUGAAAAAAUUCUAUCCCCUGAGCAUCUCCGCAUUCAACUAAUGUGUGGUCUGCACUUGGAGCCUUUCUAGCUUGACAGGUCUAGAGUUUGCACUUGAACAGCAUAGUCCAAAGUUACCUCACAAUCACAAAAUUCCACAACUGAGAGAGACCUCAGGGGCCUUCUAAGCUCAUUCUCUUAUUUUUUAUAGAUAAAGAAACUUAGGUCAAGGGAGAAUAAGAACAAGUGAUUUAUCCAAUGUCACCAUGGGCAGGAUCAGAGCCAAUCUGCUAUGUUUGAAAUGACCUCCCUCCUCUUCACUAAUCGUCAAAACAAUCUCUUCCUUCAUGGUGCAACUCAGAUACCACCUCCUCCAAUAAGUCUUCCUUCAAGCAUUCUGCUGAAGAAGAAGAAGAAGCCAAGGCCCAGACAGAAGUGGCUUUAAUGUUGUCCUCAAGAAAAAGCUUUGGUGAAGUAGGAUGAACUGCUUCAUGAAGGAGGAGGUGCCUUUAAGAGGGUCAUCAAAUGAAGACUGAGUGAUUACUUUUUUUUUGGAUUUGUUGUGGAGGGAAUUCCUGCUGAGGUAUAAGUUCACCUUAUGACCGAUGAUGUUCUGAGAUUUUAUGAUUCUAUGAAAUAGUUCUACCUUCUCACCCCACAUCCCUCUCAAAUCAUUUAUAAAGGCAGUUCAACUUAAAUGAGUCUUGAAAUCAAUAGGCUUAAGCUUGAGGAACAUUGGUAACAACAAUGAAUUAUGACCUUAGGUUAAUAACCUUUCUGAGCCUCAGUUGCCUCUUCUAGAAAAGAAUAAACCUUGUGAGAUAAAUUACUGUGAAAAAACU
rnacentral:lncRNA from 1 species